GAUAAAUGGUGACAGUAAGACCGGGAAGGUAGGCAUGCUGGUGAACUUAUGCACACCCCUUUAAGGACCCCUUAAGAAUGGAGUGAGGUCCACAGUAGACAGUUUGAGAUUGAAGCCGUGAGGAUUUGGGGCUUUGAUUUAUUUAUUUAUUUAUUUAUUUCUCAAUUUUCA